GACAGCCUGAGGUGCAGUGUUUGUGAUUGGUAGAGCUCACAGCCCUGAGGGACAUGGAUCACGUGAGGAGAAAGACACCUCUGCAGAGCAUGAACAUCAGCAUACCUAUGUGACUUGGCCAUGCUCCAACCCCUGUUGUGACUGUACAGCAAGAGAGAAUGAUAGCAGGAAUAAAAGGCUAUCAACAAAGGUUAAAUUGAUAGAUCAGCUGUGACAACUCAGCUCUCCCUGUGGAUGUUCUGCCUUUAUAGCAGCUGUAAUAUCAGAAGGUUUGGUACCUGCAGCAGAAUGCAAGUAACUUCACCCCAAGUUAGGAGAAGCUGCAUUGGUAGAGGCAAUAUUCAAAUCUGUGACAACUUCUGGCUGUAAACAAGAGAAGCACUCCUACAGG